rnacentral:rRNA from 1 species
UCAGGACGAACGCUGGCGGCGUGCCUAAUACAUGCAAGUCGAGCGGACAGAAGGGAGCUUGCUCCCGGAUGUUAGCGGCGGACGGGUGAGUAACACGUGGGUAACCUGCCUGUAAGACUGGGAUAACUCCGGGAAACCGGAGCUAAUACCGGAUAGUUCCUUGAACCGCAUGGUUCAAGGAUGAAAGACGGUUUCGGCUGUCACUUACAGAUGGACCCGCGGCGCAUUAGCUAGUUGGUGAGGUAACGGCUCACCAAGGCGACGAUGCGUAGCCGACCUGAGAGGGUGAUCGGCCACACUGGGACUGAGACACGGCCCAGACUCCUACGGGAGGCAGCAGUAGGGAAUCUUCCGCAAUGGACGAAAGUCUGACGGAGCAACGCCGCGUGAGUGAUGAAGGUUUUCGGAUCGUAAAGCUCUGUUGUUAGGGAAGAACAAGUGCAAGAGUAACUGCUUGCACCUUGACGGUACCUAACCAGAAAGCCACGGCUAACUACGUGCCAGCAGCCGCGGUAAUACGUAGGUGGCAAGCGUUGUCCGGAAUUAUUGGGCGUAAAGGGCUCGCAGGCGGUUUCUUAAGUCUGAUGUGAAAGCCCCCGGCUCAACCGGGGAGGGUCAUUGGAAACUGGGAAACUUGAGUGCAGAAGAGGAGAGUGGAAUUCCACGUGUAGCGGUGAAAUGCGUAGAGAUGUGGAGGAACACCAGUGGCGAAGGCGACUCUCUGGUCUGUAACUGACGCUGAGGAGCGAAAGCGUGGGGAGCGAACAGGAUUAGAUACCCUGGUAGUCCACGCCGUAAACGAUGAGUGCUAAGUGUUAGGGGGUUUCCGCCCCUUAGUGCUGCAGCUAACGCAUUAAGCACUCCGCCUGGGGAGUACGGUCGCAAGACUGAAACUCAAAGGAAUUGACGGGGGCCCGCACAAGCGGUGGAGCAUGUGGUUUAAUUCGAAGCAACGCGAAGAACCUUACCAGGUCUUGACAUCCUCUGACAACCCUAGAGAUAGGGCUUUCCCUUCGGGGACAGAGUGACAGGUGGUGCAUGGUUGUCGUCAGCUCGUGUCGUGAGAUGUUGGGUUAAGUCCCGCAACGAGCGCAACCCUUGAUCUUAGUUGCCAGCAUUCAGUUGGGCACUCUAAGGUGACUGCCGGUGACAAACCGGAGGAAGGUGGGGAUGACGUCAAAUCAUCAUGCCCCUUAUGACCUGGGCUACACACGUGCUACAAUGGACAGAACAAAGGGCUGCGAGACCGCAAGGUUUAGCCAAUCCCACAAAUCUGUUCUCAGUUCGGAUCGCAGUCUGCAACUCGACUGCGUGAAGCUGGAAUCGCUAGUAAUCGCGGAUCAGCAUGCGCGGUGAAUACGUUCCCGGGGCUUGUACACACCGCCCGUCACACCACGAGAGUUUGCAACACCCGAAGUCGGUGAGGUAACCUUUAUGGAGCA